rnacentral:lncRNA from 1 species
UGUAAGUGUUUUGCCCACGUGUGUGUCUGUGCUCCAUGUGCGUACAGUACGCACAAAGUCCAGAAGGGGGCGUCAGGUCAUCUGGAACUGGAAUUACAAAUGCUUGUGUGCUGCCACGUCAAUGCUUAGAACCGAACCUUUGUCAGUUCCAAGAGCAGCCAGUGCCUGUUGAAGUAGCUCAGUCCCUGUUUCUUUUUCUUUAGAAUCUGAAGUUGCUGUGUCAGCAAAGUUGGGUAUUUAUUUAUUUAUUUAUUUAUCUUGCUCUUUCCUCUUUCUCAAUCUUUAUAUGGAUAUAUUAGGAUUCCCUUUUUCUUUAACUGUUUGAAAUCUUUAGAAUUCAAAUAUACUACCUUUUUUUAUCCCUUUUUUAAAAUCACAGCUUUCAUUUGCCUUUCAAAAUGCUACACAUGGCUAAUUCUAAUUUUUCUUCCCCAAAAUAUGUUAAUUAUUCAUAUAUAUGUAUAUGAAUAUUCUUCUGCAAGAAGAGCAAAUGCUCUUAACUGAUAAGCCAUCUCUGUAGCCCUUAGAAAAAAAUCUUUAUUCUUCUUUAAUAGUAAUACAUAAAACACAUGAAAGUUUUUGAAUCCCAUUAUCAGAAAGUCAUUGUCGUUAGCUGUGGUUGCUUGACAGCACUUUUGUUCAUCGCUGCUUCUCUUAUCUCGUGUUUGUCUUUAUCAAAUUCACACUUUCAUGUUUCUGGAGAGCAUGCUUGAAGAUCAUUUACAAAAGAACAUUUUUUUGGUCUUUAAAAGUGGAAGGUGUAUUUCUGUUGUCUCCAGUUCUGAACAACCAUCUAGAUAAGUGCAGAAUUCACAGCACACAGUUAUUAUCUUUUGGCCCAUGUUGCUCCCUCAUUUCUAGUACCCUUUUCUUUUUGUUAGAGCUUUUAUUGCUAUGCCAAAAAUACCAUGCCCCCAAAGCAAGUUGGGUGUGAAAGGGUGUGUUGGGCUUACACUUACGUCCACGGCACUGUGCAUCGUUGAAGGACAGGAACCAAAUCAAGGCAUGGUUCUGGGGGCAGCCAGGAGCUGAUGCAGGAGCCAUGAACCCAGAACCACUCACCCAGGAAUGCACCUCCCACAAUGGGCUGAUCCCUCCCCAAUUGAUCAGUAAUUGAGAAAAAACCUUACAGCUGUACCUCAUGUGGCAUUUCCUCAAUUGUGUGUCCUUCCUCUCUGAUGACUCUAGCUUGUGUCAAGUUGACACACAAAACCAGCCAGUAUACCCCACUACAAAGUGGGAUUAACAUUCCAGCCCCAUCUUAUCUGCAUUGAUGAUAUUUGCCUAGUUCUGUCUUACUUUAUACUCAUAUUUUUAGUACGUUCUUUUUAUCCAUGUACUUUAGAUAGGAAUCUAUGACAAUUGGGUUGGUAUGUGUCAUGUAUGUACUUUAUGGUCUUUAACAUAAUGAACUAAGUAUUUUUUUAAUGACAAUAAUGUGCCUCAAGUGAUCAUAGCACACGGCUGAACUGUCCAAGGUCAGCCAAUGGAUUGACCAUUUCUAAAUAUGUGUUCAAAAACAAGGUUGAUGUCUAUCAUACACUACUACAAAGACAAGCAUACACACCCUACCAUACAUACCCUACAUACACACCCUACCACCACCGCCACCAAACAACCAACCAAACAAACAAAUAAAACCACUACAAACAAAUACGACCCAACCUAGCAAUAAGAACAAAAUACUUCCACACUCAUUUCAUGUCCCCAGUGCCCAGGUGCCCAGGAAAGCAAUGCCUACUUGACCAACAAGGGGAUAAGAGGCAAUUUCUGGUCUUUUGACAUCAGUCAUUUGUUCCUUGUGAGUACACUCAUGCUAGCAAGGGAAUUUGAGUGGAGAACAUUUGGUUACCACAGGCUGAUGUAUGAAUGAUAGUUCAGAGUUCCAUUCUUCAUACAAUGAUUUUAUCAUCUUUAAGAUCCCAACAUAGUGGAGUGGGUAACAGACAUGGCGGGGAUGCUCUUCCCAGUUGAACAGCACAGCCCACAUAUCUCUACUGGGUGGAGAAUAAUCUGGUGGAGUGCCCCCUGGAGCUGGACAGCAGCAUUGCACUAGCCCCAGGGUGGCAGUUGGGCUUUGUAUUCUAUUUCACUCCUUCACACUAUAGCUUUCUGGCCUCCUCUGUCAAGCAACUGAGGUCCUCAGAUCAAGUUUGCCUUUCCAUGUUGAGUUUUUUGGCACAUUAAAAAUAAAUGACACAUUUCCCCAGUUGUACCAGAAGCAACUGGGUGAUGGGGAAGAGCUGGUGCCAGAGGUCUGUGCUAGGGACAAGUGCUGAAGGAGUUCUGGAGAGGAGCCUUACUCCCUUCUGUCACAGGGUUGCUGUCCACUGCAGGCUGCUGGCAUCAACAUCUCCCCUCAGCAUGAGUAUGGGGCAACUCUGAGGUGGGGCCAGUUCAGGUCUCUAGGAAAUCACAUUUAACCAAAGAGAUUAAAUUUCAAGUCUAAUACCACAUGGAAAGCAAAGCCAAACUUGGAGGACAGAAAUGAAACCAAUGCAUAUCAGCACAGACAAGAACUGGGGAGGACUCUGAUUAUUAAGAGACACUAAGAGAUUUGCAAAUGUUGAACUGUGGUGGCGCACACCUUUAAUCCUGCCACUUGGGAGGCAGAAGAAGGCUUAGCUCUGAGUUUAAGGCCAGCCUGGACUACAGAGGGAGUUCUAGGAUAGCCAGGGAUAUAUGGAGAAACCCUGUCUUGU